rnacentral:rRNA from 1 species
GAUGAACGCUGGCGGCGUGCUUAACACAUGCAAGUCGAACGGGAAACCUUUUAAUGAAGCUUCGGCAGAUUUAGCUGGUUUCUAGUGGCGGACGGGUGAGUAACGCGUGGGUAACCUGCCUUAUACAGGGGGAUAACAGUCAGAAAUGACUGCUAAUACCGCAUAAGCGCACAGGACCGCAUGGUCCGGUGUGAAAAACUCCGGUGGUAUAAGAUGGACCCGCGUUGGAUUAGCUUGUUGGUGGGGUAACGGCUCACCAAGGCGACGAUCCAUAGCCGGCCUGAGAGGGUGAACGGCCACAUUGGGACUGAGACACGGCCCAGACUCCUACGGGAGGCAGCAGUGGGGAAUAUUGCACAAUGGGGGAGACCCUGAUGCAGCGACGCCGCGUGAAGGAAGAAGUAUCUCGGUAUGUAAACUUCUAUCAGCAGGGAAGAUAGUGACGGUACCUGACUAAGAAGCCCCGGCUAACUACGUG